rnacentral:rRNA from 2 species
GACGGGACCCGCACAGCAGCGGAGCAUGUGGUUUAAUUCGAAGCAACGCGAAGAACCUUACCGAGGGCUUGACAUGCCACUGACCGCGCCAGAGAUGGUGUUUUUACCUUCGGGUACAGUGGACACAGGUGGUGCAUGGUUGUCGUCAGCUCGUGUCGUGAGAUGUUGGGUUAAGUCCCGCAACGAGCGCCAACCCCUAUUUUUAGUUGCCAUCAUUAAGUUGGGCACUCUAGAGAGACUGCCGAUGACAAAUCGGAGGAAGGUGGGGAUGACGUCAAAUCAUCAUGCCCUUUAUGCCCUGGGCUACACACGUGCUACAAUGGUCGGUACAGCGAGGAGCAAACCAGCGAUGGCAAGCAAAUCUCUAAAAGCCGAUCCCAGUUCGGAUUGCAGGCUGCAACUCGCCUGCAUGAAGUCGGAGUUGCUAGUAAUCGCGGAUCAGAAUGUCGCGGUGAAUGCGUUCCCGGGUCUU